GUGCUACUAAGACAGCUCAAGCAAGGGUGUAUGCAAUUUCUUCCUUUGUAUCUGGAAAAUGGUCAGGAUGAAGUUUCCUUCUUCUGAAAAGUUUCUAAACCGAUAGUUCAAAAAUUAUUUAAAUGGUAAUGCAGAGCAGUUCCAAUUUAAUCAGAAGAUCACAGUCCACAAGGUUCCCAGAAAGAUACCUGGAAAACAGAAUACAGAGAAUCAAUUGUCCUUUAGUGGUAUGAGAUUUCUGUUCUCCAUCUUUCAAAAUAUGACAGAAGUACCAUCAGCAGCUGCUUCUGACACCUGAGCUGCCAGGUGUCUUAGAGUGACAGAUUAUGAGAAGGAUAGUCAACAUUCAGCAUGAAUACUUGUGCCUUUGCCAAAAAGAAAAAAUCAUAAAUUACCAUGAAGAUUUAAAGAAGAGGUCUCAAAACUGAUGGUGAAACCAUCAGAUUGAAAGUCUUUCUCAGGAAGAAGAGGAGAAAGGUACCUGGUGGUUUUGGUGCAAGAA